AACCUAGAAUCCCUACCUAGAAGCAUCAGUCGCGAUACCAAGAGACCCCCCCUCCCCGAACUUCUUCUUCUCCAAAAACAACAGACCUGACCCCAAAAACAUUCCUCUUCAAGCUGGACCAGUCGCCCAUCCUCAUGAGACCAAUGGAUUUUCUCCCUUAGCUUGGAAGAACACGAAACAACUUCACAAAGAAGGAGUUGCAACUGCAAAAAUAAGCAACGAACCAGCCCUUCAUCUCAUGCCAAAUGACAACCCUUCUACUUCUUCCCAUUAACAAAGCUCGCCGGAAACCAGCACCCAACAGCCAUGCCUCAUUCGUCUACACCUACAGCCAGCUGCUGUCGCGAUCUCACCGUCCCUAACAAAACGAGGCAAAAGAGGAAAAGACAGAACAGAGUAGAGCGAACGGACAAGAGAUUUUAGGGAAGAAGGCUUUUCUUCAAAUUGUAGGUUCCUAUCAUUCUAUUAGUUUAAGUUCCAAAAAUCAGAAAAAGUAUAAAAGAUAGUUCUAUUUUUUUUUCUUGAUUUUUGAAUUUCAACUCCUGAUUGUAAAAAUGGAGACCGUUUGAGGUUCGACAUCGGAUUGUGAUUUGAUUCCAUCCACCGCUUAAGGUCCGCGAUUUCUGCCGGGUUUUCGCCGAUGAUUUCGUUCAGAGUUAGAGUUGAAACUUGGCACUCGACAAUUUUUCUACCAAUAUUAAAGAAAUAUUUGUUUAAACAGGAAAUGAUUCCGAGUUAAAAAGGAUAAAUUGGAGCUAAAUCGAAUAAUUGGAGCUUUGAAGUCUGAGUAAAAGCCAAAGAAUUAAACUAGGAUCGCAUCCGGGUCUAUGACAGGCGUUGCAUAUGAAAGGGGGAAGAAAGUGCAAGGGCCAGAACAAAUGGACUAAUGUGACGCACAAAGCGUAGCAGCAUGCGACACAUUAGUGCAAAUAUGCAUCAGAAGUUUGACAAGUUCAGAGAAUGGUUUUUUUAUCUGACAAGCAAAUGCACUACUAGGACGCGGCCUGCGAUGCACUAAUGCAAAAUUCUGUCAGACACGCGGAGUUCAGAGAGUUUGCAACUGAGUAAACUAAACUGAUGUGAUGCAUUCUGCGACGCAUUGUGCGACGAGUGAAGUGUAAAGAGUUUGUUGGGUUCGCACUUCGGCUCAAAGAGGGUAGUUUCGUCCGGGUUCAUUCCUACUUGGUAUAAAAUACACUAGAAAUACAUUUUUUGAGGACUUUUGACCUACGAAAUAUUUGAGAACCAACUAAGGUAAGAAGACUCAAGACGUCAUCAGGAUUUCAACCAACGAUCGGUGCAAUACAGGAGUUUGUAUUGAAGCAUUAGCAUUGAUGUUUUCUUUGUUCAUAAACCUUAUUGAGAUGAUUUAUUCCAUUACUAUGGAGUAAAUUCUAUUAGGAUGUUGACAGAUACGGUAUUUUGAUAACUUGAUUAGGGAUCGAUUCUUGAUAAUUGCUGAAGUUUAAUUCGUAUUGUGGAGUUAUUUCUUAUUUUCUUAAUCGAAAGAGGAGUUUUAUAUUGAA